GUUGGGAGUUGUUCUUCCUUCCCUUGAUUGUCCACUAAGAGAGCUGUUCCUCACUUUUCAGAUAACAAGAGGUUUUUCAUACCACCCUGAAAAAGAUGUUAGAAAUCACUGCCGAUUCUCCAUGUAGAAAAGACCAGUGUAGCUGACAAUAAAAGACUCUAUAGAUUCAAGUUGGGGCCAUCAAUAAGGAGAGAAAAUUGAUAGUUAAAAGCCCUAGGAAAAGCCCACUUUUAUCAGAUUUAUAUCGUUAUAGAUUUAUAAAUACCUGUUUUCUUUUAAAUAAGAAUUUAAAAGCCAGGAAGCACCAAAAGCUAUCCAAGCACCAUAGUUGUUCCAAAAAUUGGUAGGAAUGCCUAAGCUUCCAUAACAGCACUGGCAUUUUAAUUUGGCAGCCAUCACUCUGCCCUCACAAAUAAAAACGCUGAGCAAAUAGAAAUAUCAACAAUUCUUUGAUCCAUCUGAGGUCUGAGAUCGCAGCAAACUGGGAAAAAAAAAAGAAAGGAUGACCAGAGACUCAUAACCUACCGAACAGAAAUUUCCUGGGUUCUGAACUUCCUUUACCUACCCGGCUGGGUUAUAAAGCACAAAUUCCAACAGCCAGGGCACCAGGGUGUGUGAAUGCAAGAGUUCAAAGCUCCUGGGAGACCCAAGUCACAGUGAGGUCACACCUCCCCUACAGACGACCAAAAAUAACAACAGACAGAAGCUAUCCAAGUGAGAAGUUGCUGGUAUGAAAUAUAGAAAUUGUUGAUAAAAAAAAAAAAGACACUCCUAUCUAGAAUUGUGUGGCUUACAGAACUAUACUUUCAAAGGUGAAGGAGAACUAAAGACUGUCUCAAAAACUGAAUUACUUGCCUGGCAAGAAAGAAAUGUUGAAUUCUUCAAAGAGAAAAAAUGUGAUGUGCUACAGGCUAGAAACUCAGAUGCAUACAAAACUAGAAAGCAACCAAGAAUUAGUAUGUGAUGAUAAAAAAAAAGAUUUUAUUUUUUUCUUUUCUUAAGUUUAUUCAAAAUACUAGCAAUGAUGUAUUCAAUAUGCAAAUACAAGUGUUCAUAUACUCAAGAUAAGUUUUGUGUAAAUUUAGAUAAGUUAAAUUAAUAAAGCAAUAAUAUAAGUGAUAAAACAGAGAAAAUUAUGGAUAUUUUGUUGUCAUAAAGUAUUUAUGUCACCCAGGAAGUAUAUUGUGAGAUGAACUUGGAUCAAUUAUAAAUUUAUGUGUACAACUCAAGUCUAGGCAACCACCAAACAUAAUAUUUUAAAGAGGUAAAGUUGACAUGCUAAGAAAGGAGAGAAAACUGAGUCAAAUAAAGUGCUCAGUUCAAAAUAUAAAAGAAAAGUAACAGUGACACCAGGGGACAAAACAGGACAGAAGAAAUAUGACAGCUCUAGUCCAAGUGCAAUGAUAACCACCUGUGUGCUAAUCAAACAGCAAGUGUAGUUGGGGGUCGGGAGAAAUGGCUCAACUACUGUUGUUUAUAAGUACCUUCUUUAAAUAUUUGGAUUAUAAAUAAAAGGUGAAAUUAUGGUGAGAGAUAUGUCAUGCUAAUAAUGAUCAAUAUAAAACACAUAUGGUUACAGAAAAACCAGUCUUCACAGAAGACGACAUUAUAGCACAAGAAGAGGUGGCAUAAUAACCUGAAAAAGAACAUACUGUCCAUGUCUAACGAUAGAGGGCCAGAUGUGCAAGGGACAAGCUGCUAAGCCCCCAUGGGGAAAUAAGUCAUCUAUUCUUGAAAUGGACCGACAUGCAGAAAAUUAUAAGGCAGAGUUGAAUUUAACAAAACCAUCAGUGGUGAGCAUGAAUAGGAACUUCAUUAAAAAACAACAGGCAACAUAUUUUUUUACACUCACAUGCAGCAUUUACCAGCAUAACACUUUCUGGGCUAGAAAGCACCCCUUGAAAUUUGUAAAAGUAUAUAUUGUAUAAUAACUUGCCAUAGAAAAUCCAAAUAAAAUCCACUCACUAACAGCUAUAAAAAUUAAAUUUUGAUAUUAGCACAAUUCUAACUAAACCAUGGCUUAAUAAAUAAAUGUCAAAAGAAGUUUAAAAGGUUUUAAAUAAAACUUAAAUAAAUAAAAAUAAAAUAUAUGCAUAUAAAUACAAAUAUGAUGUGAACACUUUAAGGAUAAGUCUUAGCAGUACAAGAGGAAAGUUUUAGAAGAUUCACUUUAAGGAAACUACAUAUAGAAAAAUUAGGUCUAAAGUAAGAAUAAAAUAAUUUUAAAAAUAGUGUUGAGAUCAAUUAAAUUGAAAAAUGAAUAUCAGCAGGGAAAUUUGAUAAAACCAAAAACUUGUUCUUUGAAAGGAUCAAUAAUAUUGAUUACUCUCUCAAUAAAUAAGAAAAGAAGUGAAAAUAUAAGCUAUAAGAGAUGAGAAAUCACUAGAAAUAGCAUAGACAUUAGAGGGUAAAAAGUGGAUAUGGAUCACUAUGUCCCCACAAAUUUGAUAAUCUAGAUCAGUUCUUAACCUGUGUGUCAUGACCCUUCUGGCAAAUCUGUAUCUCCAAAAGUAUUUACAUUGUAGUUUAUAAUGAUAGCAAAACUACAGUUAUGAAGUAGCAACAAAAAUAACUUUGUGGUUGGGGUCACCACCACAUGAGGAGCUUUAUUCAAGGAUCACAGCAUUAGGAAGGAUGAGAGCCACUGAUCUAGAUGAAACAGAGCAAAUUCUUGAAAGAUAAAAGCAUUUUCCUCUCCCUACUUCUGUUCCUCACCUCCUCUAUGCCCCUUCCUCAUUUAUCCCCAUAUACUUCUCCUCUAUUUCUCUUCACCAACAGGCAGGCCUCCCAGGGAUAUCAAAGAAAUAUACCAUAUCAACUUGCAAAAAGACUAGGCACCUCCUCUCAUAUUAAGGCUAGAUGAGUCAACCCAGUAGGAGAACAAGGAUCCCAAAAAGCAAGCAAAAGCAUCAGAAACAUCCCUGGAUCCCUCUGUUAGGUAUUCCU
rnacentral:lncRNA from 1 species